UAAAAGCCGAGGUGUGACUGAGAGAGAAUCAUAAAUCAGCUGAGAGUGAUCGACGUCGUCCCAAAGAAACCAUCAAAGAUGAUGUGGAGACUGUUACCCAUCUUACUGAUUGGAAGGCUGUAUGUAACUCAGCAGACAACAGAUUAUUGCAACGAACCGCUGAUAGAUCUGACUGACAAGAACGCAUCUCAGUCUCCCAACUUUUCUAAUGAAUACAGGCGACUUACCAACGCUGAGAGAGCCUCUGAUGGGAAUCGCUCCACAUGUUCUCUCACCCUGAUUCAUUCGAGCUCCUGGUGGAGAAUUGACCUGCAGGGCGUUCACAACGUUUCCUGUGUCUCUAUAUACAACAUGAACUGCUCAAGUCUAAACGUAACGCCUGCCGAGAUCUACGUAGGAAACUCUCCAAAGAACGGCAAACUAGCCUACAACAUCACAGAGUUCAACACAGGCCAGAUAAACGUCUUCAGGUUCCCCAAAUCGGUGUUUGGGCGCUACGUGACGGUGAUCAGACCAGGACAAAAAGCCAUGGUUCUUUGUGACGUGAACAUCACUGGCACAGCUUUGGUACCUCCAUUCUGUUAUGACUGAUUGUUGUGAAGAAUCCCUGAAAAUCUGUGGAGGAAAUCGGGGAUCGGUUCUGAAUCCUGGAUGGACAGAUGCAAACAGAACGACCCUCUGUUUGAAAAGUUCAUUUUUAUUUCUGUCAUUUUUUGGGUGGUUGGUUUGAUUUUCCUUCUUUGAGCAAACCUUAUUAUGUCACGGGGCGGUUCUAGACAUGGAUACAUGAGGGGGCAGGCGAAAAUGUUAAGGGGGCGUCAUUAUGUAUAUUAGGGGUUGAUAGACUUCAUAUAUUUUAUGGUGGACUAUAAAAUGAUAAAAGUCGGAAUCCUCACAGUGGUGUCAUACAAACGUAAGCGAAUUUCACAUCAACUUACAGGCUGUAUUAUAUUCACAGCAAAUACUGACAAAAAAAGCCCUUUAAGUCUAUUAUUCUGGUAGCCUUUGCAGAAGUUUGCAGUUUCCCUUUGAUGAAUUAUUAACAUUUUUACACAAUUCCAAUUCAGGAACUCACCUAGUUCAUUUUCUUGGAAUAAUUUGUUUGGACCAAAUGUAUGAUUUACACGCAUAAAACCGAGUAACAACAAAUCCAGAUAGUUAACGCAGAGCAGGCGCUGCGUUAACUAUCAGGAUUCAGCGCCAAAAACGCAAACAUUUCCCACAAAAAGAACAGAAUAUUCAGUUUUUCUGGCUGGAGGAACGGUUCUGAUUCGAACAGCUUCAGUCUGGAUCAGCAUAAUAAGGGAAGAACUGCAUCCGCGGUUCUGCUGCAGCUGUGUGGGAGAACUGCUGGUGUGGAAAGACAGGUAGACCCGCCUCUGCUGAGAGCCAGGUGAUUUCCUCAACAUGAUGAGAUGUGACAGGUGAGUUUAUCACACACAGCACUUUGCAGAACUAUUCACCAUCCUCAACUUUUAUCUCCGUUUUUGGUAUUUUACUAGUAAUCGUUACCAUCAUUGCUAUUUGACAGUAAACAUAGUAAUGAUUAGUUUCGUUACUACGGUAGUAAUUAUAUAUAUAUAAUAGUAAAUCAACGCUCAAACAUUCUCAAUUAGAUUUAGCUCUGGACUUUAACUACACCAUUUUGACACAAGUUGUUUUUCUUCUUAGCUGUUCCAUUUAGUUCUGUUCUGUAUGUUUAGGGUUGAUAUCAUAAUGGAAAGUGAAACUCCCAUCAACUCUGAUCAGCUUUCCUGUCCCUGCAACAGGAAAAAAAAAAACUCCCCACAGCAUGAUACUUCCAACACCAUGUCUCACAGUGGAGACAGAAAACACACAUGACAUUUUGGAUUUAGGUUUAAAAACUAGAUAUUGGUCUAAUCUGGCCACAGUAUUUGUGUCCAGUAGAGCCUGUGGCAAACUUUAAACUGGACUAAAGGUUUUCUGGAGUUUUUUUCUUUUUGCCUCCCUAAUCUGCAGAUUUGCAGCUGCGCCAGACUCUUUUAAACUUUGGGUAAAAUACUGGGCUUUUUUUUUUUACGUGAGAUGGUUAAAGCUUGGGAAAUUGUUUCAUAAAUCAACUCUGCUUUCAAAUUGACUUUCUUCUGGCCUGUCUGAGGUGUUCCUUGGUCUUUGUGAUGUGAUUCGUUUUCUAAGAAAACAUCUGUAGUCUUCAAAAAAACAGCCACAGAAUGUCAUAGUCAUGUGCUGCUUUGUGUUGCUCGGUCACAUUAAUAAUGAAAUAAAUUAAAGUUUGUGGCUGAAUCCUGACAAAUUGUGUUGUUCAGGAAGUAUGCGUGCUCUUUUAAGGUUCUUAAACAGUUAAGGAUCCUGAAGUUAAAAAAAAUAGAGAGGAAUGUAUGUCUAUGUGUAAUUAAAUGAAAGAAACACAGCACUGCCUGUUUUCUUCCAGGCAGUAGGAAAACAUUCAUGAUGUGGUUAAUAGUUCAGCACAGCAGAUGUAGAGUUUUGUUCCCAGGCCUGAGGCAGCUUGAUGGGCGCAGGAACGAAUGAGUGACUGGAAUGAAGAUGGCUGUCACUUCAGCUCCUGUCAAAGAGCAGCUGAUUGGCUUUUGGUUCAAUGGUAGACACACCUAGACAGGGAUUAGGAGCAGAGACACAAACGCACAGCCAAGGCUGUUUCUUACACUGAUGAUGACACAUUUAAGCAGAUCUCCAGCUGACAUGCAUCUGUUUUCGACUGUCUUCAAUGCAGUGAUUUUUUAUUUUUUUUUUACCUUUUUGGAGGUUUUUCUGCUUUGGUUUUGCUUUGCAUCGAUGCCACUUGUCAGCUUUAAAAGUUAAACAUGAGUCUUUGCAACACGUUCAGUAGAUAAUUGUAGCUUUUCACUGCCCUGCCAAAAGGAGGAUGCUUUGGUCACGCAGUGACUGCUUUUGAAAAAAUGCCUAGGUGGUGUAUUUUAGGUCAAAUGUGAGUAAAUCAUUAUAAAAUGUAUCAAGAUGAGAUAAAUGGGAAUCAAAAGUUACCAUAAAACAGACAGAAUGCUGGCGGCUUUAUCAAAAAUGGCUUUAAGCGAGACAAAUAUAAAUAAAAAAAAAACAUCUCUGAUAUAAUAAAGAUAAUAAAAGAUCAAAUUAAAGCACUGGUGCUCUUACCAAAGAAAAUAUAAAAAUAAGUAAGUAGUAGUUACGGCCACUUAUUUGUGUCUAUGGUUACAAUGGCUGCAAGAGUUCAUGCUGCACCGUUUACUGCAGCAGAAAUCAGAGUGCUCAUUGUGCCCCUAAUUUAUAUUCCUGCAUUUAAAGUUGUUGCUCCUUCCUCAUCAGAGGGUUUCAGUCUGUAUAUUACGCACGCCGAGGUCACAAGUACAGAAAAUACCGGAGAAGUUCAGAGUGAGAAGACGCUCUGGUGAGUAGGAAGUGGAAAUCAGACAUUCAAACGCAGCACCAAUCUGACACCGCUC